ensembl:lncRNA
GAACUUGUAUUAUUUAUUUAUUUCCCAAAUGGAUACCCUGUUCUUUCAUCACUGUUAAGCAUAUAUUUGUGAGUGUGUGUGCGUAUAACUAUUCCUAGAAUGAACGUCUUGAAUAGCUGGAUACUGAGGGUUGGGUCAUCAGAAAUGUCAGUCAUACUAAACAGGCAGAUAUGGCACUUUCAACAUAUGUGGGCUUUUAAGCACCGACCCACAUUUGAUCUUCAAAUCCCAGCACUGCAACUCAGGGCUUGUACAACUUUGAGCAAGCCCAUCUGUGAUCCUCCUUGAGUCUUGGUUUCUUCAUCCAUAAAAUGGGGUAGUAAUACUUCCUCAGACUGAAGCCUGCCCUCCUCCCACCUCCCUCCUUCACCUAGUGAUCGCCUCAGGCCCUUACUGUGAUACAUGGCAGGCCAUGCUUGGUUCCCAGCUUUGGUGAAUUCUUUCUAUCCAUGGAUGGAGCCACUCUCUCGGAAAGCUAUAUGAGCCAGGUCCUGCCAUUUUGCACAGGAGGAGGCUGAGUCACAGGAACAUGAGAUGCUCUGCCCAAGGUCACACAUCUGGAAAGGGGAAGCCAGGAUUCUAGAGGCCACUUAUGAUACCAGGUCACUGUUCUGGCCAUCUCUUGUGAUUUGUCCAGGUGCCUGGGGUCUUCCUACCUGAAGCCCAUCCUCUGGCCCCGCUAGGUCUUAUACAGGACCCACCAG